UUUAGGGUUCCGUAGCCAAAUGGCAAAAAACGGAACCCUUAUGGAUUCGUCAUGUCUGUCUGUCUGUCUGUCUGACUGUCUGUCCGUAUGUCACAGCCACUUUUUUCCGAAACUAUAAGAACUAUACUGUUGAAACUUGGUAAGUAGAUGUAUUCUGUGAACCGCAUUAGGAUUUUUACACAUAAAUAGAAAAAAAACAAUUGGUGAUUGGGUUCCCCAUACUUAGAACUGAAAAUCAUUUUUUUUUUCAUCAACCCCAUACGUGUGGGAUAUCUAUGGAUUUGGAUAGGUCUUCAAAAAUGAUAUAUUGAGGUUUCUAAUAUAAUUUUUUUCUAAACUGAAUAGUUUGCGCGAGAGACACUUCCAAAGUGGUAAAAUGUGUGUCCCCCCCCCCCCCCUGUAACUUCUAAAAUAAGAGAA